CCUACGGGUGGCAGCAGUGGGGAAUAUUGCACAAUGGGGGGAACCCUGAUGCAGCAAUGCCGCGUGGGUGAAGAAGCACUCCGGUGCGUAAAGCCCUGUCAGCAGGGAAGAAAAUGACAGUACCUGGACAAGAAGCCCCGGAUCACUACGUGCCAGCAGCCGCGGGAAUACGUAGGGGGCAAGCGUUAUCCGGAUUUACUGGGUGUAAAGGGAGCGGAGGGGGGGUGGCAAGGCAGCUGUGAAAACCCGGGGCCCAACCCCGGGAGUGCAUUUGAAACUGGCAUGCUGGAGUGCCGGAGAGGUGAGCGGAAUGCCUAGUGUAGCGGUGAAAUGCGUAGAUAUUAGGAGGAACACCAGUGGCGAAGGCGGCUGACUGGACUGUAACUGACGCUGAGGCUCGAAAGCGUGGGGAGCAAACAGGAUUAGAUACCCGAGUAGUC
rnacentral:rRNA from 1 species